CUACGGCCUCAGUACCAGCGUCAACUGUCUUCUGCGCAGGCGUCCUUUGGCUACGGCGAUGACGUCAUCGGCGCGGCCUGCCCGUCGCCGCGGCCCUCAAGUAUGGCGUCUCACGUAAAGUCCCAGAGCGGGUUCCCGCAUAGGGCGCGCGCGCAGCCGCUCCCUCGCCCGCGCAGGGGCGGGACCGACCCGGGCGAGGCGGAGGUUGAGGCGGCCAAUCGGCUGCGUCCGUCCGUGGGCCGCGCUGCAGCCCCAGCGGGACUCGCAGCUCCCUGACCUGGUCCAGGGUCAGCGCAGCGGCCCCGCAGUGAGGUGAGGGCUAGGACCACCUUCCUGCUUUCCUCGGCUGCGGGGCCGUGGGCGCUCGCAUCUGGGAAGCGGUGGAUCGGCCGCGCGGUGCCUUUCCCGAGGAGCGGGCCCUGCCCGGAUUCCUUCCCGGAGGAGCCGGGCCUGCCCGGAGGCCUUCCUGGAGGAGUGGGUCCUUCCCAGAGGAUCCGGGCCUGCCCAGAGGCCUUGCCGGAGGAGCGUGGCCUGCCCAGAGGCCUUCCCGGAGGAGCGUGGCCUGCCUAGAGGCCUUCCCGGAGGAGCGGGUCCUUCCCAGAGGAGCCAGGCCUGCCCAAAGGCCUUGCCGGAGGAGCGGGGCGGGUCCCGUGGGCUUAGUCCACGCGGGUGCACCGUGGAUGCCUCCCUCGGAGAGGCAGGAGACGGGUUUCCAAGGCCGCCGACGUCAAACUGAAGAGUGGGACUUGGCUACUGCAAGAUCUAACAAUAUAGGACAUUGGACUCAGAAACUGGUUUAUUGAUUUGCCCCGAGAGAUCCCCGUCCCACUACAUCUGAUCGAGGUGCGCUGUCAGCAGAGGUUGGGGAAGUCAGAAGGCUGGUGGUGAGUAUGGGCCUCAGGCCAAGAGGCGUUGCAGCCAUUUCUUCCAGUGGUGGGGCUGGCAACAUUGACACCCCUUUGGCCUACCACCCCUUCCAUUACUUCCUCCCACCCCCCAAAAAAAUAAAUCCUUUAUUUAGCUUUUGUCAAUGCGUUUGCACAGCUUACUGCAGAGUCUUCCUGCCUCUUGUGUUUUUCGCAGUUAUGGCUCUGAAGACAGUCACAUUUCCCUU
rnacentral:lncRNA from 1 species